CAAGUUAGAGAAAAAAAUUCCCUAGCUAAGCUUUAUGUAAUCAAAGCUCCCAAACACGGCCAAAAUCUAAACUUCAAUACUUCAUGUCGACUCCAUUGUUCCAACCUACUAGAGAAUCAUUCUCACCUUGUUAUCAAUUGUUUUCUUAUGAAAUCCUAAAUCGUGUUAACCAACUUAACCUUAAAUAACAUUAAAAUCAAAUCAAAACUGAAAUUAUUCUGAGUUUCCUCCUUUCUUCUUCUUUUUCUUCUUCUUCGACGAUAACCUGGAUAAUGAUAAUAUGGUGUUACAAACCCUAGGUACUGAAAUAUCGUAUGAUAUGGGAUUUCGUAAUUCCUGGAAUUGACUGCUAUGUGGAGUAGAUGAGGAAAGGGAAAAUAAAAUAAAAUAGAAGUAGGUCAAUGAAGUGGUGGUGGUGGUUAUUCUUAACUUCAUCAGAAAAAGAUGAACAUCCUAAAGAUUGAUAGGAACAGUUUUCUAGAAGGAUUACUGGUAUGGGUUUUCAUUUGUGUUAUUCAUCUACUGUAUGUACUGAUGGGUUACUCUUAUGAUUUACACUGCUUUUGCUUGUUGUGUUAUAUUGAUAGAACAUAGACACUGUUAUUAUGCAGUGUAACUAGAUUGGGAUCUACUGAGGUUAUAUACAGAAUGUUUCUAGGUAAUGUAGUCUCAAGCAUUUCAGCAGGGUACAUACACAAAUUUGUUUUAUGAUCAAUUUUCAUAUGGUUCAUUGUUGUAUAUUCGUGUAGAAGUAUAACUGUGACUGGAUAAUACUCAAUUAUUCACACUUAUUGAAUAUAUGUUGUUGUCUAAAAAGAAAAAUUAGUUGUUGGAGAAUGAAGCAACUUUGUAUACUUCUGCAGUUUUCUUUCCAUUGUUGCUUUGAUAAUUCGUUUGUGAUUCUUUUUUUUUAUUCUUAUGCAUGUUGGUACGAACAUUUCAUUCAGACUUCCUAUUGUAUUCUCAUCUUCGUUCAAGAUUUUGUUCCAAUAAAUUGAAAGCUGCACUAGAUGAACCAUCACUAGCAUAGUUACAUGCGGCAUCGAUAGAGAGAGUUGUGUUGGCAUCCAGACAGAGUUAUGGAAUCUCUGUUAUACCGUUUUCUUGAAGUUGCAAGAUGUGAAGUUGAUGAAAUUGAAGUGGCACAUCAUCUCCGAAGUAACUCUGUGGGAACUAUAAGAAUGUUCUGGGCUUCUUUCCUUUCCUAGCUUUCUUACUUCUUAGGAAGUUGUAGCUUUUGUAUCACCAAAAGGUCUAAAUUUUUGGGUUCAUUUUAGAGAUCUUCUUAUCAAGGGGAAGGACAAUCACAUUUGAACUUCUUUAUCUCUUAAUAAGAUCGUCUUAUAGUUGAUCUGAAAUUCCAGAUGCUCAUAGGAGUUUGGUUGGAUAAGAACGAUUUUAUGAAGCAAGGCAAUGAAUACAGGCAUGAACUGUUUCAGUUUGCAAUGAGUUUCAAACAUUUCGUAACUCUUCAUGAUGCUUCCAACUUAUCUUGUUGCAGGUUUUGGUCGAAUCGGUGACUGAGUGAGUGAGUUUGGAAAAUUGGUGGUUGAUCCAAAAACCAAUGAACUUCUGCACUUCACGGAGAAACCCGAGACAUUUGUAUGUACAAGGCCCAAAGUUCGCUGACUUUUUUGAUCAUAUUUAAGUGAUACAGUGUUUUAACGAUUCAAGUGCUAAUCUCCGACGUGUAUCCAGCUUUCUCUUCAGUUUGCAACAAACUAACAUUGAACGUGUAUCCAACUUUCUGUUCAGUCCGCAAAAAGUGAUUCCCUACUGAUUUUAUAAGUCUGGAUCAAGAUAUAAGUAAACUCCUAUUGCUGGGAAGAGAAAUAACUUUAUACUUUUGAGAGUAUAUUUCUGGGAACACAUCAAAACUCCUGAGUAGACCAAUCUGCAAGUAAAGGAAUGUUGCAUCAUCCAUCUUUUGAGAGUAAUGUCCAACGUUUGUUGGAAACUCUGUACUAGUCUUGAAUUUCUGUUAUGCUUAGGUUUUCAUUGUGUUGGUUCCAGUGAAAUUAUGACCUUGUAAUUCUUUUCUGAAUGAAUAAAUGAUGUUGGAA